rnacentral:rRNA from 1 species
GACGAACGCUGGCGGCGUGCCUAAUACAUGCAAGUCGAGCGAUGAAGCAUGGUGCUUGCGCCCAUUUGAAGGGCAGCGAACGGGUGAGUAACGCGUGGGGCAUCUGCCUUUGAUCGGGGGACGACAUCUGGAGACGACUGCUAAUACUGCAUCACACCUUUAAACAUAAGUUUUAAGGUUGAAAGAUGCCAUUGCAUCACUCAUAGAUGAUUCUGCGUUGUAUUAGCUAGUUGGUGAGGGAAAGGCUCACCAAGGCGAUGAUACAUAGUCGACCUGAAUGGGUGGUCGGGCACAUUGGGACUGGGACCACGCCCAAGCUCCUUAGGGGAGGAGCAGGAGGGAAUUAUCGGACAUGGAGGGAAGGCUGGACCAGGACCGCCGCGGGGGUGAAGAAGGGCUUCGGGUCGUAAAACUCUGUUGGUAGAGAAGAAAGUUGGUGAGGGUGGAACGCCGAUGUAGUGACGGUAACCAAAGAAUAAGCGACGGCUAACUACGUG